AAGACUCAGAGAGUGAGCAGGUCUUCUGGGGAAAGCUUCCACUCUAUUCAUCCAGGGGACACUAGAUUACUGCUUCCUACAUGGCAUGUUCUAUCUUGAUGCUGCUCGGCUACUGCCUCGACUCCCACGUCUGCAUCCCCGCCCUGCCGUCUCAUCUUCACUUCAAGAAAGAAGGCAAGUCCACAGCAAAACCAAAAACUAGGGAAGUGACAUUAUUUUUCUUCCCUGGGAGUUUGCUCCUUUUUGUUUUCAACAAAAUCAAAGAGCUUUGGAGGACAUAAAAAAAAAAAAAAGAUUUUCAAAAUUA